ACUCUGGGAAGAGUAGUGUGCUGAGUUUCCUUGCCAGUGCCGAACUUGAGAGAGAAUUACCAUAAUAAGCUAGCUUCCCGUUCCAUGUAAUCCUGUGGGAUGGUUGAAAUGAGAGAACAGAAAUCUAGCGCUUCGCCUUCCAAGAGCCGACAUUUGCCGAAGGGCAGCAACAAGAGAGGUGGCGAAUUUUAGCAGGGGAGCCCAGUUCAUUACCUCUCACAAGGGUGGAGCCUUGUGACUUCAUUUUCUUUCAUCAGGGGCAGCAAGCUUAUAAAUAUACCCACUGGUUAAUGGACUCCAAGCUAAGAACUCCUGGACUAGAAGUAUCCACAUUCAAAUCAACCACACAAUCAGAAUUUAUUAAGGAUUGUGUCUGAAGCAUACACCAAGCAGAGUGGACAGCCAUGUGGCAUAAUAGAUAGAGCACUGAGCCUGGAGUCAAGAAGAUUCUUGAGUUCAA